ensembl:lncRNA
CAAAUGGGGGUGUCAUUUAUCUAUGCCAACCCGACUGCCCUCUGCCCUCCCUCCAGUGCUCUUUGCCCUCACCCAGUAACCUAAUUUGCAUUUGAAAAAGAGCAGCGGUUGCAAUAGCACCUUGAGUUCCAGCCUUCAGCCAGCCUGGAGAGUGCAUCAGGAAUUUGGGUGGUCAUCUGCUGGGAAUCAGCAGUAUGCAGAAGACAGCAGGAGGUAAUUCUGCACCCACUUUACAUAUGAAGAAGCUGAAGUCUUGCAAAGUGGCCCAAGGUCUCCCAGGGAUGACCUGCUGGAAGCAAGCUAUGAAUCUAAGUCUCACCCCAAAGCUGCCUGUGUUCUCUUGUGAAAAGAACCACAAGCCAAAAGUUGGUAUGAUCUUUUGGGUCUCCCAGGGGUCAACAGACAAUGGUGAGCAGAAUGGAGAUAGUUUGCUAUAAAUAGGGAGAUAAAAUAUGUUGUUAGGUGGGUGCAUUGGGAGAGAGAUCCGAAAAUGGAAACGUGGAAUCAGAGGUAUAUUGACAUCUCACACAAGGAUAUCUGGUGUGUGAAGGGGUGGGUUUUGAGGGGCUAUCAGGGGAAAUUAAGAUCCAAUUAAAGGGCAAUAGACAUAUUGGAAUGAUUUAGGCUAUCUCAAGAGGAGGUUUCAACUUCUUUAUUGCCUUCCACCCAAUACAAAUAUGACACUUCUUUUCAUACUCUCCAUUCUGCUCUCAUGUUUGCCAGGAUCAAUACCCAAGGACAGACACCUCUCUAAGAGCUGUGAUUGAGCUUGGUAAGUAUUUCAGGAGCAAUUCAAAUAGAUUCUUUCAAAUCCUAAAAUGUGAAGUGAUAGCUUUUGUUUCUUUCAAUGGAGGGAAUGGGUUUAGAGUUUUAUAGAAAAUUGACUGAACACUUCAUUCUCCACUUCAUAUUGGCAGGCCAGGUACAAGGUAACUUUUUUUCUUUCUUCAACUCUUAUUUUAGAUUUAGGGGAUACUUGUGCAGAUUUGUUACCUGGGUAGAUCAUGUGAUACUGAGAUUAGGGAUAUGAACGAUCCUUUCACCUAGGUACUGCGCAUUAGUACUCAACGGUUUUUUUAUUUUUUAUUUUUUUAUUUUAUUUAUUUAUUUUUUUUAAAUUUUUUAUUGGAUUUUAGGUUUUGGGGUACAUGAGCAGAGCAUGCAAGACAGUUGCGUAGGAACACACAUGGCAGUGUGCUUUUCUUUCCUUUUCCCCUUCACCCACAUUUGGCAUUUCUCCCCAGGCUAUCCCCUCCCCACCUCCCCCUCCCACUGGUCCCACGGUUUGUUUUUCAACUCUUACCCCUCUUCCUCCCUCCUGCUUCUAGUAGUACCUCGUUUCUAUUGCUGCCCUUGUUGACACAGAUAACUGCCCUUUGUUUUUAUUUGUACUAUUUUGCAUUUUAGAUUUCCUAAGAACCACUUGCCCUCCAAGUUGGGCACAUUUAUUUAUGAACCCUUAGAGUCGUUGAUGUGAAAUUAUGAAGACUUUCUGUUGGUCUUGACGCUAUGAAUGGGGUUAUUUCCCAGGCAUGAAUAAGAAGUGGUUGACAUCAGUGUGUAA